UGUAUACUCCUUCCGUCACAUAUUCAGUGCCGAAAUAUACAUGUAUUUAUACGUAUUUUAGUAUAUAGAUACAUCCAUAUUUAGACAAAUUUGAGUCACUUAAUAUGUGACGGAGGGAGUAGAUC
rnacentral:pre_miRNA from 1 species